AUUGAACGCUGGCGGCAGGCCUAACACAUGCAAGUCGAGCGGAUGAAGGGAGCUUGCUCCUGGCUUCAGCGGCGGACGGGUGAGUAAUACCUAGGAAUCUGCCUGGUAGCGGGGGAUAACGUCCGGAAACGGGCGCUAAUACCGCAUACGUCCUGAGGGAGAAAGUGGGGGAUCUUCGGACAUCACGCUAUCGGAUGAGCCUAGGCCGGUUUGGCUAGUUGGUGGGGUAAAGGCCUACCAAGGCGACGAUCCGUACCCGGUCUGCGAGGGUGAUCAGCCACAUGGGAACUUGAACACGGUCCAGGGGCCUGCGAGAGGGAGCAGUGGGGAAUAUGGGACAGUGGGCGAAAGCCUGACCCAGCCAGGGCGAGUGUGUGAAGGAGGUCUUGGGAUUGUAAAGAACGUUAAGUGGGGAGGAAGGGCUUUAAGUUAAGACCUUGCGGGUUUGACGGUACCGGCAGAAUAAGCACCGGCUAACUACGUG
rnacentral:rRNA from 1 species